CUGACCCAGAUCGUGGGGUUCACCUCACCUGUACAUUCGGUUCCUACAAUCGUUAACCAGGAUUCUGCGCACCUCGUAUCAUUUCACAAGGACACCUUUACACCUUGCACUUUAUUCGUUUAUCCUCAACAGAAUGAAGCUUUCAUAUACCUUCGGCUCAAGUGUCUUCACUAUAUGAGUUACAUUUCACAUUUGUAAUAAACCACAAGACAUCAAAUUUCGAAUUAAGAAUGAGGAGCAUUUUAUUUACAGCUUUGAAAUCCAUCUUCUUUUCAGUGUUCGUUUCUUGAGGGAGAGGUGUUUGUUGCGGAGCAGCUCCUGGAGGAGAUCGGGCAUAGCUGAGCGCAGUUCAAUCCAAUUGUAGCAGAGGAGGAAAGAUUCGUCUAUAUUUGAAGAAAAAGUAUGCUGCUAUCGUAUCUUUAACGCCUCGCGGAAAAUCGCAAAUAUCUAUUCCAGGAAGGAAGCUUUCCUCUAUUUAAAGAGAGAGAGAGAGAGCAUGGUGUCAUCGUAUAUCUAACACGACGAAGAAAUUCGCCAUAGUGUUUUUUCAGUUUAUGAUCAAAGAAACAAUCUGAAGGACAGGAAGGAUGUGGAAGAAGAAAAGUGGUCCCUGCAUACUUUUUUUUUAUCAAAUUUUUUGUUUUCUUUCUUAUUUUUUUUAUAAAAUUUUUUUUAACGCUCCCGGCCUCGCGCAGAAGUGCGAGCAAGAAAGAGGGAUCCUUGGGAGCUGGCCUGAAGCGCUCGAGAAGUGGCGAUGUAACUUUUGCCCCGACGUGGGACUCGCCGAUCGGUGAGUCAUUUUUUAUUUAACCCCUUCCCUGUUUUGAUUUUGAUUUCCAUUAUUUUGAAAUUAAAAUUAUUUACAGAUUGAAAAUUAAUUUUUUUCAGAUAUUAUUUUUAAUUUAUUAUAAAUUUUGCAAUAAUUUUCUUGAAUAAAAAAAAAUUUUAAUUAAUAUAAAUAAAUAUAAAAUAUAUAUUUUGAUUUUGAUAUAAGUUUUUAAAAACAGGGAAGGAAAAACAGCA